GAGAGGUCAGGGAUCUCGUGCCUGAACAUCGGGAGCAGGAAGGAUUUUUUCCCACCCUAAUAAAUACGUGUGGAGCACGGAGUACCUGGAACGAUAGCACAGUGAAUGACAGCACAGAAGGGAAAUACGCCUUCUCUACCUUCAAGACUAAGCGCAGAUGGGAAAGGAAGAAAUCACAGAGAUUAGCAAACAGUACGAGGCAGUAUACACCGUAAUGACCAUGUUCCAAGUUUUUCCUCUGUUAGGAUCUCUAUCAGACUGCCAGAUUAACUGACGAGAUAAACUGAGUCUCCUUUUCUUCAUUCUCUUUGAGGAAGCUUUGGCCCUCGGGGAAGGCAAUCUGGCAUUUUCCCAGGAGCCUAUGAAAUAACCUGAGCUUUGCACAGAUUUGCAAGAAAGGGAAGGAGCAGCCGUGGUCUUCUGAUGCUGAAACUUCCCCACAAAGCUGAGGCAUCACUGGAGUGCUCUACCGAGAGAGGCCGUGACUUCCGAGCAGCGUGUGCAACAGGCCGCUGUCUGGGGCAGUCUGCACCCUCCUCUCUGCUCUCUCACUUGGUCCUUGCUGUUAGGAAGCUCCAUCACUCUUUCCCCAGUCUCCAGUUUGCUCAUCUGGGCCAGCCCUCUGUAAUCUCUACCCUGUAAAGUCUACGGUGAGCUUUGUCGCACAUGCCAGGUCCUUGGCUCCCCUCGUAUACCAGUCAAAGGAUCCUUAAACUCAAGCGCAUUUCUUUUGAGGCAACAUUUUAUAAUUCUCAGACUGAGAAAGCAAAACCAUACCCCAGGGUCCAGAGAGAGGCAAUUUGAGAGCUGGCUCAUUCUUUUUUCUUUGUUUAGGAAAGCUAGCUUGUCUGGCUGACUUUCCGUCUCAGCACUUUCUUUCUCAUAAUCUGCCAAGUGCAGGACAUUGUAGGAUUGCAGGCUCUGGAUCCUCGGUCCUGGGCUCGGGCUUGGAUGCUGUGACCCCCCAAACUGCACGUUCGAUUUUACAUCCUCUGCACUCUUCUGUUAUUCAGUCAUGACACAAAAGGAAAAUUAAAUGCCUGUUUCAUACUUACUGAGUUGGGUAAGGCAGUCAAUCUCUCCUCAGAAACACCCCUUAAAGCGUACAGCUAGACUCUAGGAAAUUUGCCACCUGGCUGCCAGACAGAACUGUUCACCGGGCUCUUCAUGUGAUCCUAAGUGCCUUGUCCACUAAAUGCCCCUUGGGACCUCCUUUGAUGGUACAUAAAAUAUACAUGGAAUUCAUUUACAUGGAAUCUGCCUGGUGCUGCUAGAAACCCAGGAUGUCUGACUUCCUUACUGCUUAGAUGCUUUUUUGCCUGUCUCACUGAGAUGAGCAAUGUGACCCAUUACCUCUGGGAGGGUAAUGCUUGGUCUGGUUAUCUUGUUACAAGAUCUAAGUUUAUUUUACCUUUAUAAAAACUAGAACCACAUAUUGUAUGAUUCCAUUGAUAAGAAAUGUCCAGAAUAGGUAAACUCAUUGAGUCAGAAGGUAGAUUAGUGGUUGCCUAGGGUCUGGGGAGUUUGGGGGGAAAAUUGGAGUGGCUGUUUGUGGGUAUGGGGUUUCUUUUAGGGGUGAUGAAAUGUUCUGAAGUUGUUUGUGGUGAUGGUUGCAUGACUGUGAAUAUACUAAAAACCAUUGAGUCAUACACUUUAACUGGGUGAAUUGUAUGGAAUGUAAAUUAUAUCUCAAUAAAGCUGCUAUUUGAAAAAACAAAAGUCAGGGAAAGCACAGGCAACAAUGAGGAGGGUGUGUACGUGAAUUUGUUCCAGGAAAGGAGCCCAACCACCUCCUAUCCCUGAAGGAGAAGAGUCUGGUCUCUUAGCCCAGCUACUCUUACUGUAUACACAGUUUCUAUUUUGGGCCUUUUUAUAGUUUUGUUAUAGUUUGUGAGCAACAGUUAAGUCAAAAACCACAGUGAGGCCUUGGUUACAGUUUAUCCUUGUUUUCGGUCAACAAUAAACAUGACUAAUGUCACCAGGGCUGAAGUCAACCACACACGUGGAUUCAGGAAGUUUGGGACAUGUGCUGGGCACUAGUGGAGCCGGCCAGCGGAGAUUUGGCUCCUUGGAGAGACAGUGGUUGGCUAAAC
rnacentral:lncRNA from 1 species